GAUAUAGCUCAGUGGUAGAGCAUUUGCCUAGCACACAUGAUAAUCUGGAUUCAAUCCCCAGUAUC
rnacentral:tRNA from 1 species